rnacentral:rRNA from 1 species
UACGUAGGUCCCGAGCGUUGUCCGGAUUUAUUGGGCGUAAAGCGAGCGCAGGUGGUUUAUUAAGUCUGGUGUAAAAGGCAGUGGCUCAACCAUUGUAUGCAUUGGAAACUGGUAGACUUGAGUGCAGGAGAGGAGAGUGGAAUUCCAUGUGUAGCGGUGAAAUGCGUAGAUAUAUGGAGGAACACCGGUGGCAAAAGCGGCUCUCUGGUCUGUAACUGACGCUGAGGCUCGAAAGCGUGGGUAGCGAACAGG